rnacentral:rRNA from 1 species
GACGAACGCUGGCGGCGUGCCUAAUACAUGCAAGUAGAACGCAGUUUCGAACGGGUGAGUAACGCGUAGGUAACUGCCUCAUAGCGGGGGAUAACUAUUGGAAACGAUCGCUAAUACCGCCUACUGUGAGAUGGACCUGCGUUGUAUUAGUUAGUUGGGGAGGUAAAGGCUCACCAAGGCGACGAUCCAUAGCCGACCUGAGAGGGUGAUCGGGCACACCGGGGACUAGAAACGGCCCAGAAUCCCACGGGAGGCAGGAGGAGGGAAUCUUCGGCAAUGGGCGGAAGUCUGACCGAGCAAAGGCGCGUGAGUGAAGAAAGUUUUCGGAUCGUAAAGCUCUGUUUUUAGAGAAGCGGUAACUAACGAGAAAGGGACGGCUAACUACGUGCCAGCAGCCGCGGUAAUUC